rnacentral:piRNA from 1 species
GAAACAGAGGUGUCCAUGUCACAGACCUGG